rnacentral:misc_RNA from 1 species
AAAGUCGUAACAAGGUUUCCGUAGGUGAACCUGCGGAAGGAUCAUUAAAAAGUGGGGAUUGAUAUCCCCGUGGAAAGCAUGGGAUUGGCGGAGACUAACUUUUGCACCUUCUUCAGUUGGACUCCGCCUUUCGUAUCCUGUAACACCACAACGUGCACCGUAUACUUUUGCAUUUGCGUAAUUUUCUAUCUGUCUGUCUGAUGUUUACAUUCUCUGACUUUGGCCUUGUUGCCGAAUGACCGAAAAUAAAACAACUUUUAACAAUGGAUCUCUUGGCUCUC